rnacentral:rRNA from 1 species
GACGAACGCUGGCGGCGUGCCUAAUACAUGCAAGUCGAACGCUUCUUUCCUCCCGAGUGCUUGCACUCAAUUGGAAAGAGGAGUGGCGGACGGGUGAGUAACACGUGGGUAACCUACCCAUCAGAGGGUUAACACUUGGAAACAGGUGCUAAUACCGCAUAACAGUUUAUGCCGCAUGGCAUAAGAGUGAAAGGCGCUUUCGGGUGUCGCUGAUGGAUGGACCCGCGGUGCAUUAGCUAGUUGGUGAGGUAACGGCUCACCAAGGCCACGAUGCAUAGCCGACCUGAGAGGGUGAUCGGCCACACUGGGACUGAGACACGGCCCAGACUCCUACGGGAGGCAGCAGUAGGGAAUCUUCGGCAAUGGACGAAAGUCUGACCGAGCAACGCCGCGUGAGUGAAGAAGGUUUUCGGAUCGUAAAACUCUGUUGUUAGAGAAGAACAAGGACGUUAGUAACUGAACGUCCCCUGACGGUAUCUAACCAGAAAGCCACGGCUAACUACGUG